rnacentral:lncRNA from 1 species
AUGUCACUGUCUCACCUGUGUUUCAUGUCACUUGUGUUCCGUGUCACCUGUGUUCCGUGUUACCUAGGUUUCGUGUCACCUGGGCACUGUGUCGCUGUGUCACCUGUGUUCUGUGUCCCCUGGGUUCUAUGCCAUAUAGGCAGUGUCACCUGGGUUCUGUGUCACCUGGGUUCCGUGUCACCUGGGUUCCGCGUCACUGUGACACCUGGGCUCUGUGUCACCUGGGUUCGGUGUCACCUGGGUUCUGUGUCACUUGUGUUCCAUGUCACCUGUAUUCUGUGUCACCGUCACCUGUGUUCCAUGUCACCUGGGUUCCGUGCCAACUGGGUUCUGUGUCACCUGUGUUCCGUGUCACCUGUGUUCCUUGUCACCUGGGCUCUGUGUCACCUGUGUUCCAUGUCAGCUGGGUUCCAUGCCAACUGGGUUCUGUGUCACCUGUGUUCCGUGUCACCUCGGUUCCAUGUCUUAUGGGCAUUGUUCCACCUGGGUUCUGUGUCACCUGGGUUCUGUGCCAACUGGGUUCCAUGUCACCCAGGUUCACACACAGCUGUCACUGUGUCACCUGGGUUCUGUACCAACUGGGUUCUGUGCCAACUGGGUUCCGUGUCACCGGCGUUACAUGUCACCUGGGUUCCAUGUCAUAUAGGUGUUGUGUCACUUGGCUUCUGUGUCACCUUGGUUCCAUGUCACCUGGGCUCUGUGUCACUGCAUCACCUGGAUUCUGUGUCACCUGGGUUCCAUGUCACUGUGUCACCUAGGUUCCAUGUCACCCGGGCUCCAUGUCACCUGGCAGCUCCACGUCACCAUGGCACUGGGACUCAACAUCACCUGGGCUCCAUGUCACCAUGUCACCUGGCAGCUCCAUGUCACCGUGUCACCUGGGUUCCACAUCACCUGGGCUCCAUGUCACCAUGCCACUGGUGCUCAACAUCAGCCAGGCUCAGUGACACCCGUGGGCUCCAUGUCACCAGGGCGUCGUGUCACUGUGUCACCCGGGCUCCACCUCACCACCAGACUCACCCUCAGGCUUCAUCCCCACUGCCAUCACCGUCCUCAUCCUCAUCCCCAUCGCCGUCCCCAGGCCCUGGGGUGACAUGCAGCUCUCCGUGGGGCCCAAAGCUCAGCCUCCAGCCCCGUGGGGCCGCUCCGGGCAGGACGAGGCGGACGUUCACCUUCAGUGGGAUCCCAGGUGUGGGUCGCAGGCGGCAUUCAGCCGGGAAGUAACGGCGCAGGACGGGCAGCACUCUGGGGCCAGGGGGGGGCAGGCGAAGGGCAGCCAGGAGCUGGGCGGGAGGGCGGGGGGCACGGGAGGCCUCCAACAGCAGGGCGGCCAGGCGGGCGGGAGCGCUGGGCCCCCCCUGGAUGUAAUGCUCCAAGCCGUCCAGCAGCAGCAAGCCGGGGGGCUGGGCUCGGGCUGCCAUUGCCCCCAGCUCCUGGGCAAGGGCUGCCAUGGUGGGGGGGUAACGGAGCUCCAGGCGCUGCGGGAAAGGUGGGAAAAGGGAGGUCAGGCCACACCCCCCACAAGCCACGCCCCCUGUCAUCAGGCCACGCCCCCAAUUCUGGCCCCGCCCACACGCAAUAGCGAACACACCAGAGCCACGCCCCCUUUGUUGCAAGCACCGCCCACUCACGCAGCCCCGCCCCUUUCUGCUAGGCCACGCGCAUCGUGCGUAAUCACGCCCCCACGCACACAAAGCCACGCCCUCACUCAGAUAGCCACGCCCCCAAACCCACAAAGCCACGCCCCCGCACCCCACAAACCACGCCCACGCUGAAAGCCUCGCCCUCCAUUCUCAUAAAGCCACGCCCGCUCAGAAGCCACGCCUCCUCUCACAACCCACACAACCACAAAGCCACACCUCCACACAAAGCCACGCCCCCAUGCCCACAAAGCCACGCCCCCCACAGCAACAAAGCCACGCCCCCACCCAAACGCACGGCCUCAAUCUCCAUAAAGCCACGCCCACUCUCAAAGCCCCACCCCCACGCAAAAGCCACGCCUCCAUCCUCACAAAGCCACGCCCCCCACACCCACAAACCACGCCCCCACGCAAAAGCCACGCCCACAACCGCAAACCACGCCCCUAUCUCAAAGCCACGCCCACACACAUACGAAGCCACGCCCACAAAGCAAUGCCCCCCUCACCCCGCCACGCUCCCUAUGCGAGGCCCCGCCCACACGCCGAGGCCCCGCCCCUUUCGGCUCCAAGCCCCGCCCCCUCUC